CUAUCAACCUGUUUUGUUGGACUCCUAAAAGUGCUACUUACAGACAGCAUGCUCAACCUCCAAAGCCAUCUUCUGACAGCAGUGGAGGCAGAAGUUCGGCACCUUAUUUCUCUGCUGAGUGUCCAGAUCCUCCAAAGACAGAUCUGAAAAUACAUUAACAUAUACUCAUGCAAUCAUCUGCAUACCUACUCUUAAAUAAGAAGAAAUCUUUUUACAUAAAGAAGGACAUGUUUGCUUCCCAUUCUACCAUGAUUGUAAGUUUCCUGAAGCCUGCCAAGCAUUGCUGAACUGUGAAACCUCUUUCCUUUAUAAAUUACCCAGUUUGGGGUAUGUCUUUAUGAGCAGUAUGAGAACAAACUAAUAUAUUAAAUAGGUACUGGUACAGUUGGGUGCUGCUAUAAGGAUACCGAAAAUGUGGAAGUGAUUUUGGAACUGGAUAACAGGCUGAGGUUGGAACAGUUUGGAGGGCUCAGAAGAAGACAUGAAAAUGUGGGAAAAUUUGGAGCUUCCUAGAGACUUGGAAUACUCAGAAGACAGGCAGAUGUGGGAAAAUUUGGAACUCCC
rnacentral:lncRNA from 10 species